AGCCAUGCAUCAGGGGUGAGUACAAUGUAGUGUGGGUGAGCAUCCCACUCACUUCACCUAGUCUUGUCAUUUCAUGCUCUGUCGACACUAGCAGCCACAUAUAAAGCUCUGUCGAGUAGGGGGCGAAACUCUGAAGUGUUUUGGUUUACGUCCACGCGAACUUCACAACUAGUUAACGGAACUAUUUCUACAUCCAGUGCACCAUGGUCAGUCACGUGACACUACAGAUCCCACUGUCCAGGAGCGCCACCAAGUACCUAAGUCAUCUCUGCUGGGUCCUGCUGAUCGCUUUGACACUCCUGCUCUUAGUCAACUUUUCUGACGCUGCGCCAGCCGGCAAGAGAGGGCAACACACGCCAUUCGACCGCUGCCUGUAUCGCUGCUACCGCACUUUCGUUUCCUGCUUCCGCAGCGCCUCUUCCGGUGACCAGGUCAACCUUUGCAUCGCCACUUAUAACACGUGCUUUCCAAGCUGCUACGAUAUGGCCUAACAGAAUGAAAGCAUGAAGAACUUGUAUCAACUGACUUCCUUUUCAAACCGCAUUAACACCAAGUAUCGCAUUCAAGACAUUUUCACAAUGAAUCUCUGUCGGUGAAAGCACAUUGCUAUGGCCAUGAACAUGAAGACAUCAAAGGCUGUUCACUUUGUCUACAUCUGUCUCUCCCCGGUGGCGCACUACGAAAGGGACCAUUCUGUGAUAGAUCUAUUCCUUCAACUCUAAUAUUUUAUGUCAUACCAAAGUGUUGGCCGCAAUAUGUGAGACUUCUUUGAUUGUUGUAUGGAACAGGAUUUGAACUAGACUCUGUGUUUUAGAUGAGAAACUAACAAAAUGGGCUACUAACUGUGUACUAUAGAAGUUUUGUAUAGUAAACUUAUUUUAUUAUGACUGCUUCAA
rnacentral:sRNA from 1 species